rnacentral:rRNA from 1 species
AAUGAACGCUGGCGGCAGGCCUAACACAUGCAAGUCGAGCGGACGAACGGGGCUCUCUCCUGGCUGCAGCUGCGGACGGAUGGGUAAUGCCCAUGUAUAUGCCCUAUCGUUGGGAAUAAGGUCCGUAAACGGGAGCUAAUACAGCAUACGUCCAUAGUUAGAAAGGGGUGGAUCUUCGGUCCAAACGCGUCCUGAUGAGCCUAGGUCGGAUUAGCGAGUUGGUUGGGUAACGGCAUACCAAGGCGACGAUCCGAAACUGGUCUGAGAGGAUGACCAGUCACACUGGAACUGAGACACGGUCCAGACUCCUACGGGAGGCAGCAGUGGGGAAUCUUGCACAAUGGGCGAAAGCCUGAUCCAGCAAUGCCGCGUGAGUGAUGAAGGUCUUCGGAUUGUAAAGCUCUGUAAGUUGGGAGGAAGGGAAGUGAGUUCAUCUGUUAAUAUUUUGACGGUACCAACAGAAUAAGCCCCGGCUAACUUCGUG